rnacentral:rRNA from 1 species
ACGAACGCUGGCGGCAGGCCUAACACAUGCAAGUCGAACGAACCCUUCGGGGUGAGUGGCGCACGGGUGCGUAACACGUGGGAAUAUGCCUCUUGGUAAGGAACAACAUCUGGAAACGGGUGCUAAUACCUUAUAAUGACUCCGGUCCAAAGAUUUAUCGCCAAGAGAUUAGCCCGCGCUUGAUUAGAUAGUUGGUGAGGUAAUGGCUCACCAAGUCGACGAUCAAUAGCUGGUCUGAGAGGACGACCAGCCACACUGGAACUGAGACACGGUCCAGACUCCUACGGGAGGCAGCAGUGAGGAAUAUUGG